AUGGCUGAUGGGAGUGAUUUGGUGGAUGUUGUGCGGUUACGAUCGGUCGUUGUUCGCGAUGGUCUGAUGGGCGUUCAUGAUUCCGUGAUGGUGGUGAUUGAGAUCGGCGGUGGCUUAGGGCGUCGACUUCAGUCGGAGCUGCAACAAUUUACGACAUUUGCAGCAAUUCACGGUGGUGCUCGCUUCGACAGAGGGAAGACGUGA